rnacentral:rRNA from 1 species
GACGAACGCUGGCGGCGUGCUUAACACAUGCAAGUCGAACGGUGAACCUCUUCGGUGGGGGUCAGUUGCGGACGGGUGCGUGACACGUGCGCAACCUGAACCCGGCUCUGGGAUAGCGCCAAGUACAUGGGGCUAAUGCCGGAUGUUCACCGCUUCUCGCAUGGGUGGUGGUGAAAAGGAUUUCCGGUUGGGGAUGGGCCCGCGGCCUAUCAGCUUGUUGGUGGGGUAGUGGCGUACCAAGGCGACGACGGGUAGCCGGCCUGAGAGGGUGACCGGCCACACUGGGACUGAGACACGGCCCAGACUCCUACGGGAGGCAGCAGUGGGGAAUAUUGCGCAAUGGGCGGAAGCCUGACGCAGCGACGCCGCGUGGGGGAUGACGGCCUUCGGGUUGUAAACCGCUUUCGGCAGGGACGAAGCGUAAGUGACGGUACCGGCUGAAGAAGCACCGGCUAACUACGUG